rnacentral:rRNA from 1 species
GACGAACGCUGGCGGCGUGCUUAACACAUGCAAGUCGAGCGAGGCUCCUCCUUCGGGAGGAUGCCCUAGCGGCGAACGGGUGAGUAACACGUGGGCAACCUGCCCCUAGCACUGGGAUAACCCCGGGAAACCGGAGCUAAUACCGGACACGACUUCGAAAGGACAUCCUCCGAAAGUGGAAAAAGGUUUACUGGCUAGGGGAUGGGGCCCGCGGCCUAUCAGCUUGUUGGUGGGGUAACGCCCACCAAGGCGACGACGGGUAGCCGGCCUGAGAGGGCGACCGGCCACACUGGGACUGAGACACGGCCCAGACUCCUACGGGAGGCAGCAGUGGGGAAUAUUGCACAAUGGCGAAAGCCUGAUGCAGCGACGCCGCGUGA